rnacentral:rRNA from 1 species
UGCAGUCGAACGAUGAACCACUUCGGUGGGGAUUAGUGGCGAACGGGUGAGUAACACGUGGGCAAUCUGCCCUUCACUCUGGGACAAGCCCUGGAAACGGGGUCUAAUACCGGAUACAACCACUACAGGCAUCUGUGGGUGGUGGAAAGCUCCGGCGGUGAAGGAUGAGCCCGCGGCCUAUCAGCUUGUUGGUGAGGUAACGGCUCACCAAGGCGACGACGGGUAGCCGGCCUGAGAGGGCGACCGGCCACACUGGGACUGAGACACGGCCCAGACUCCUACGGGAGGCAGCAGUGGGGAAUAUUGCACAAUGGGCGAAAGCCUGAUGCAGCGACGCCGCGUGAGGGAUGACGGCCUUCGGGUUGUAAACCUCUUUCAGCAGGGAAGAAGCGAAAGUGACGGUACCUGCAGAAGAAGCGCCGGCUAACUACGUGCCAGCAGCCGCGGUAAUACGUAGGGCGCGAGCGUUGUCCGGAAUUAUUGGGCGUAAAGAGCUCGUAGGCGGUCUGUCGCGUCGGAUGUGAAAGCCCGGGGCUUAACCCCGGGUCUGCAUUCGAUACGGGCAGACUAGAGUGUGGUAGGGGAGAUCGGAAUUCCUGGUGUAGCGGUGAAAUGCGCAGAUAUCAGGAGGAACACCGGUGGCGAAGGCGGAUCUCUGGGCCAUUACUGACGCUGAGGAGCGAAAGCGUGGGGAGCGAACAG